GGAUGCCUUGGCAGUUGGAGGCGAUGAAGGACGUACUAACUUGCGAUAAGCCUAGUUGAGCCAGUAAGAGGCGCUUGAGACUAGGAUUUCCGAAUGGGGAAACCCACCUAUUUAUAGGUAUCGUUAACUGAAUACAUAGGUUAACGAGGCGAACCGGGAGAACUGAAACAUCUUAGUAACCCGAGGAAAAGAAAUCAACCGAGAUUCCGUUAGUAGUGGCGAGCGAACGCGGACCAGCCCUUAAGCUGAGUUGUAGUUAGUGGAAUAUGUUGGAAAGCAUAACGGUACAGGGUGAUAGUCCCGUACACAAAAACUUAUACACAGUGAAAUCGAGUAGGACGGGGCACGUGAAACCUUGUCUGAAUAUGGGGGGACCAUCCUCCAAGGCUAAAUACUCCCAACUGACCGAUAGUGAACCAGUACCGUGAGGGAAAGGCGAAAAGAACCCCUGUAAGGGGAGUGAAAUAGAACCUGAAACCGUGUACGUACAAGCAGUAGGAGCCCUUCGAGGGUGACUGCGUACCUUUUGUAUAAUGGGUCAGCGACUUAUAUUCUGUAGCAAGGUUAACCGAAUAGGGUAGCCGUAGCGAAAGCGAGUCUUAACUGGGCGCUUAGUUGCAGGGUAUAGACCCGAAACCCGGUGAUCUAGCCAUGGGCAGGUUGAAGGUUGAGUAACAUCAACUGGAGGACCGAACCCACUCCCUUUGAAAAGGUAGGGGAUGACUUGUGGAUCGGAGUGAAAGGCUAAUCAAGCCGGGAGAUAGCUGGUUCUCCCCGAAAUCUAUUUAGGUAGAGCCUCGGACGAACACCUAUGGGGGUAGAGCACUGUUAAGGCUAGGGGGUCAUCCCGACUUACCAACCCUUUGCAAACUCCGAAUACCAUAGAGUGAUAUCCGGGAGACACACGGCGGGUGCUAACGUCCGUCGUGAAGAGGGAAACAACCCAGACCGCCAGCUAAGGUCCCAAAGUGUAUGUUAAGUGGGAAACGAUGUGGGAAGGCUAAAACAGCUAGGAGGUUGGCUUAGAAGCAGCCAUCCUUUAAAGAAAGCGUAAUAGCUCACUAGUCGAGUCGGCCUGCGCGGAAGAUGUAACGGGGCUAAACAUACCACCGAAGCUACGGCUGCACACGUAAGUGUGCGGGGUAGGGGAGCGUUCUGUAAGCCGUUGAAGGUGUGCCGGGAGGCAUGCUGGAGGUAUCAGAAGUGCGAAUGCUGACAUGAGUAACGAUAAUGCGGGUGAAAAACCCGCACGCCGGAAGACCAAGGGUUCCUAUCCCAUGUUAAUCAGGGUAGGGUGAGUCGACCCCUAAGGCGAGGCUGAAAGGCGUAGUCGAUGGGAAACGGGUUAAUAUUCCCGUACUUGAUAUGAAUGCGAUGGGGGGACGGAGGAGGCUAGGCAAGCACGGCGUUGGUUGUCCGUGUGAAAGUAUGUAGGCUGGUGACUUAGGCAAAUCCGGGUCGCUAAAGCUGAGAUACGAGACGAGUCACUACGGUGACGAAGUUGUUGAUGCCCUACUUCCAGGAAAAGCCUCUAAGCUUCAGUUCAUAUUGAAUCGUACCCGAAACCGACACAGGUGGUCAGGUAGAGAAUACUAAGGCGCUUGAGAGAACUCGGGUGAAGGAACUAGGCAAAAUGGUACCGUAACUUCGGGAGAAGGUACGCUCUUGUCUGUUAAGCCCUCGCGGUGUAAGCAGACGGGAGUCGCAGAGAAUAGGUAGCUGGAACUGUUUAUUAAAAACACAGCACUGUGCAAAAUCGUAAGAUGACGUAUACGGUGUGACGCCUGCCCGGUGCCGGAAGGUUAAUUGAUGGGGUUAGCGCAAGCGAAGCUCUUGAUCGAAGCCCCGGUAAACGGCGGCCGUAACAAUAACGGUCCUAAGGUAGCGAAAUUCCUUGUCGGGUAAGUUCCGACCUGCACGAAUGGCGUAAUCAUGGCCACGCUGUCUCCACCCGAGACUCAGUGAAAUUGAAAUCGCAGUGAAGAUGCUGUGUACCCGCGGCUAGACGGAAAGACCCCGUGAACCUUUACUAUAGC
rnacentral:rRNA from 1 species